GCUGGGCACAGUGGUGCAUGCCUGUAAUCCCAGAGGCUCAGGAGGCUAAGGCAGGAGGAUUGCGAGUUCAAAGCCAGCCCCAGCAAAAGGGAGGUACUAAGCAAUUCAGUGAGACCCUGUCUCUA
rnacentral:sRNA from 1 species